GAGAGAGUCGGACCUAGUCUGGGAGCCUGCUAACUUCCCAAACCUGCGGUUUAACCCCGCAGCUCCCUCG
rnacentral:tRNA from 1 species